AGCGAACGCUGGCGGUAUGCUUAACACAUGCAAGUCGAGCGCGAAAGUGACUUCGGUCAUGAGUAGAGCGGCGGACGGGUGAGUAACACGUGGAUAAUCUGCCUUUAGGACUGGGAUAACCCUGGGAAACUAGGGCUAAUACCGGAUAAGACCACAGGUUCCAUGGAACCAGGGGUAAAAGGCGGCCUUCGGGCUGUCGCCGAAAGAUGAGUCCGCGUCCCAUCAGGUAGUUGGUGAGGAACGGCUCACCAAGCCGAAGACGGGUAGCCGACCUUAGCGGGUGAUCGGCUACACGGGGACUGAGACACGGCCCCGACUCCUACGGGAGGCAGCAGUGGGGAAUCUUGGGCAAUGGGCGCAAGCCUGACCCAGCAAUACCGCGUGAGGGAUGAAGGCC
rnacentral:rRNA from 1 species